UACAGAGGUCUCAAGCGUUGUUCGGAUUCAUUGGGCGUAAAGGGUGUGUAGGUGGCGCCGUAAGUCGGGUGUGAAAUUUCGGAGCUUAACUCCGAAACUGCAUUCGAUACUGCGGUGCUUGAGGACUGGAGAGGAGACUGGAAUUCAUGGUGUAGCGGUGAAAUGCGUAGAUAUCGUAAGGAAGACCAGUGGCGAAGGCGGGUCUCUGGGCAGUUCCUGGCGCUGAGGCACGAAGGCCAGGGGAGCAAACGGG
rnacentral:rRNA from 1 species